UCGGGAAUUUUGCUCAAUGGGGGAAACCCUGAAGCAGCAACGCCGCGUGAGGGAUGAAGGCCUUCGGGUUGUAAACCUCUUUUGUCAGGGACGAUGAUGACGGUACCUGGCGAAUAAGCCACGGCUAACUACGUGCCAGCAGCCGCGGUAAUACGUAGGUGGCAAGCGUUGUCCGGAUUUACCGGGCGUAAAGAGCGCGCAGGCGGUCGGAUAAGUCGAGUGUGAAAGCCCCUGGCUCAACCAGGGAGGGUCAUUCGAUACUGUUCGACUCGAAGGCAGGAGAGGGAAGUGGAAUUCCGGGUGUAGUGGUGAAAUGCGUAGAUAUCCGGAGGAACACCAGUGGCGAAGGCGACUUUCUGGCCUGUUCUUGACGCUGAGGCGCGAAAGCUAGGGGAGCAAA
rnacentral:rRNA from 1 species